rnacentral:rRNA from 1 species
AGAGUUUGAUCCUGGCUCAGAGCGAACGCUGGCGGCGUGCUUAACACAUGCAAGUCGAGUGCGCAGUCUUCUGUAGCAAUACAGGAGAUCGGCGCACGGCGCACGGGUGCGUAACACGUGGGUAACCUGCCCUCCAAAGGGGGAUAACCCGCCGAAAGGCGGGCUAAUACCGCAUGACAUUCCGGUGGCUUCGGCCGCUGGAAUCAAAGCCCGCAAGGGCGUUGGAGGAGGGGCCCGCGGCCGAUUAGCUUGUUGGCGAGGUAACGGCUCACCAAGGCUUUGAUCGGUAGCCGGUCUGAGAGGAUGGCCGGCCACACUGGAACUGAGACACGGUCCAGACUCCUACGGGAGGCAGCAGUGGGGAAUCUUGCGCAAUGGGCGAAAGCCUGACGCAGCGACGCCGCGUGGGGGAUGAAGCUUCUCGGAGUGUAAACCCCUUU